CCCUCCUACAAGGACCCACUCCGGAGAGUGGAGGUGGCCGGGCUCGGGGACCAGAGCAGCUUAGUCGCCGCCACGUGGCCGCGCGGCCGCCAACGCCCGGACGGCAGGUAAUUUUCAGCAACACAGCAGUAAAUAUGAACAUGGAGCACAUUAUUAUUGUAGAGCAUGCAGGGAGAAAAAAAGAAGCUAGCAUUUGAGAAAUGAAAUUUGCCCAGGAAAAGCUGAAUCAGACCUUGGAGAUUUGGAUACUUUGGCUGCCCUGCAUCGUUAAGGUUCAGGGAUAUGCAGUUGUAAAGCAAGUAACUUUUAUUCAUGACUUCCUCAUGUUUUCUUUAUUUCUACUCAUUACAGCAUGUUUAUUAUCA